CUCUAAAGCCGCUAAGAAAGCUUUCUAGUCCAAAAAAUUUAUUGUGGAGCUGGGUGUGAUGCCAUCAGAUACCAUUGCACUGCACUGCGACAACAACGGUGCCAUAGCCCUCACUAAAGAGCUCAGAUCUCACUAGAAGUCAAAGCAUAUAGAGCGACGGUUCUAUAUCAUAUGCGAAUACCUCGAUAAGAAGUUCAUCGAAAUAUAGAGAGUCAACUCUAUAUAGAACAUGACGAACCUAUUAACCAAGCCUCUCAGCC
rnacentral:lncRNA from 1 species